AACGCGAAGAACCUUACCUGGCCUUGACAUAGUAGAGACUUUCCAGAGAUGGAUUGGUGCCUUCGGGAAUCUACAUACAGGUGCUGCAUGGCUGUCGUCAGCUCGUGUCGUGAGAUGUUGGGUUAAGUCCCGCAACGAGCGCAACCCUUUUCCUUACUUGCCAGCAUUUCGGAUGGGAACUUUAAGGAUACUGCCAGUGACAAACUGGAGGAAGGCGGGGACGACGUCAAGUCAUCAUGGCCCUUACGGCCAGGGCUACACACGUGCUACAAUGGUCGGUACAAAGGGUUGCUACACAGCGAUGUGAUGCUAAUCUCAAAAAGCCGAUCGUAGUCCGGAUCGCAGUCUGCAACUCGACUGCGUGAAGUCGGAAUCGCUAGUAAUCGCGGAUCAGAAUGCCGCGGUGAAUACGUUCCCGGGCCUUGUACACACCG
rnacentral:rRNA from 1 species